rnacentral:lncRNA from 1 species
UUUUAAAAACAAAUCAUGAUUGGUAACAUUUUUGAAUUAUCUUCCUAGUUCAAUGAUACCACAUAGUAACUCAUGUCACCAAUCACACCCUUAGGUUCGAUUUAAUUCUUCUUUUUGGUGGCAGAAGUUAAGAAUUUGCCUCUAAACUAAUAAUGACUUUCAAGAGGUUAUUCUUUUUUUUUUUUUUUUUUUUGGGCAAACCAACUUUCAUUAUAAAGAAGUGUCGUUACAUAGCAGGAGAGUUCAAAGCAGAUAAAGCAGAUAAAGAGGACUUGGCCAGCGCGUCAGCUAACAAGUUAGCUUCGCGAGGAACAAAGGAGAACUUAAUGGAUAAAAAAGAACAGCGAAGCAAGGUAAUAUCGUGAAGAAUUCCUUGCAGCUCGUUCGAAGUGGUCUCUGUAUUGAGCAGAGAUAUAAGGACUUGAGAGUCCGAAAAAACGAUGAUGGAGGUGAGUUCCAUUCUAGACGCUGCGGUCAGCGCUGAUUUCAGAGCUAAAGCUUCGGAAGCUAAAGCGGAGGGAGUAUGGAGGCGAGUAGCCGAGCCCUGAUGGAUAACCCGGUGGUCCCGAGUCUUAAGAAUCCAUCCCAUACCACAGGAGCCAGAGGAAGCGUUCCAAGCCGCAUCCGUGAAGCAAAAGACGACCUCAGAACGAGGGACCAAUUGCGAAGAAACCUCAGUAAGAGGGACCAGAGAAGAAGAAACCUCAAUAAGAGGUAAUGUUGUGGAAACAGCCUCAAUAAGAGGUAAGUGUUUGAACUUAUUGCCCAAAGGCGCUUGGAGCAAUUGUUGAGCAAGUUGCCAUUCUUUUGCUGCAGUAAUGGACUUAUUUAAAAUUUCCGCUUCAGAGAAGGCCUGGUUUUCAAAAAUUAGUCGAUUUCGUGACUUCCAGAGUUGCCAAAGGAUCCAAUGGAACAGAGAGGUGUGAGAGAGUCCUAUAGGAGGGAGGCACUGGGAGAUCCGAGCCGUCUCUAACAGUUGAGCAACUGAACCAACAAGGUCUUCCCUGGGUUUCCGGUGCAGAGGAGCUAAAUCCCAUACCUUCUGGGCAAAAGGACAUGAGAGGAGGAGAUGCAGUUCUGUUUCUAAAGCUCCACAUCUUUUACAUGAUAGAUCACUGGUGAUACCGCGGAUAGCGAGGUUAUCUCCAACCGGGAGUGCUCUGCGCUUAAUCUUCCAGAGGAACAUUUUCAGUUUUGGGGGAAGACGUAAUUGCCAGAUAUUUAAUUUCCAAUUGAAGGACUCAGGUCCCAGAGCUCGAGAGUGAAGCUUGGACAGGACAUAUCCUGUUUUAGUUGAGUAGGCGCCGGAUUUUUCGGGUAACCAAACCAUGGAGUCCUUCUUUUUACUUGAGCUUGGGAUCAGUUUGCGGAUGGUGCUCUCAUAGUGCGGAAGAUGAUGGCGAAUGGCUCUUGUAUUCCAAUCGUUGGAGCUUGGAAGUAAAAGAGAACUGACCUUAAGGUUAUGAGCAGCCAAAGUAGGAGGACCAAAAGGGACAAGGGGCAGGGCAGUAGAAAGCCAGGGAUCCUUCCAAACGUUUAUUGAGUUGCCAUCCCCAACUGUCCAUCCUAACCCUUUCCUAAGAACCUCUCUUCCUGCCAUGAUACUCCUCCACCCGUGAGAGCAGGAGGAGGAGAUAGAGACCUCUAGGAAGGGUUUCUCAUGGCAGUAUUUCCCUAGCAAAACCCUGGCGAGAAGGGAUUCAGGGCAGUUCAGAAUUCUCCAGCUGAUGCGUCCUAGGAGGGCAUCAUUAAAUUGUGCAAUCUCUCUGAAACCAAGGCCUCCUUCAGAUUUGGGAAGAGUUAGCGUGUCCCACGAAACCCAACUCAUCUUACGCUUCUCUGGUUUGUCAUCCCACCAAAAGCGAGUAAGAAUGGAUUGAAUUCUUUUGCAAAGGGAGAGAGGAAGUUUGAAGCACGACAUAGCGUAGAGGGGCAUCGCUGCUAAGACGGACUUUAGGAGAAUUUGCUUUCCCGCAGCCGAGAGGAAGCGAGAGGUCCAACUGUGAGAGCGUUGGCGGAUCUUAUCGACAAUAGAGGUGAAGAUAUCCUUCUUUCGCCUACCAAAAUGUUCGGGUAGUCCUAGGUACUUUCCAACUCCGCCCUCAUUAACUAUACCCAGCUUGGAUUUAGCAGCCUCUUUAACUGAAGGAGGAGUCUUAACAGAGAAAGUAAUGGCCGAUUUAGUAACAUUGAUGACUUGGCCCGAUGCUUCUCCAUAGCGAGAGAUAAUUUCCAUUAGCUUGUUGCAACUUUUAGGGUUAGACCGACAAAAGAACAUCGUAUCAUCGGCGAAGAGAAGGUGGUUGAUGGGAGGGCUACCCCGAGCCACUUUGAUACCCGGUAAUUGGCCACGAAGUUGCGCCCGAUGACAAAGACCCGAAAGCACUUCGGUACACAAGAUGAAAAGAUAAGGGGAAAGAGGAUCCCCUUGCCGUAAGCCUCGGGAAGGAAAAACUUGCCCUUUUGGAGUACCUUUAACUAGGAAAGAGUAAGAAACAGAGCCUACGCAUGCCAUGAUCCAAGAUGUCCAUUUGUCAUGAAAACCAAGACGUCGGAGGACUGCUUCUAAGAAAGGCCACUCAAUUCGAUCAUAGGCCUUACUCAUGUCAGUCUUAACCGCCAUAGAGCAUCGUACCUUAGCUUCCGAAGUGCGCAAGAAAUGUAAGAUUUCAUGAGUGAUUAAAACGUUGUCAGAGAUAGCACGGUUAGGAACAAAGGCAGAUUGAUUGACGGAGAUGAGAGAAGAGAGCAUGGGUUGCAGCCUUUUGGUGAGGAUCUUAGCUAUGAUUUUGUAGUGUACUGUGCACAAAGCUAUAGGCCUGUAGUCGGAGACUUUCCUUGGACUAGUAACUUUAGGUAUCAGACGGAUGUGAGUUUCAUUAAGCCUCUGGGAAAGGUAGCUUGAUUCGAAGAAAAGACAUAUAUCUCGAGAAACAUCUAAACCAAUGAUAUCCCAGAAAGACUGGUAAAAACCCGCAGAAAAACCAUCCGGACCAGGCGCUUUAUCCGGAUGAAUAGAGAACACUGCCUCCUUAAUUUCAAGAAGAGAAGGGAUGGAUAUAAGUUGCCGGUUCAUAUCAGUCGAGACCUUGGGAACCAGAGCUUCCUCCACAACUGAAUUGGUAGAGGGUUGUCCCGCUGUGAAUAUGGACUGAUAGUAGCAGGAGAUGGUAUUAGCAAUCUGGUCUUCAUCAUGAUAUUCAUUUCCUUGCUCAUCUUCAAUUACAGAGACAUUGUUAAUUACUCGCCUUGCUCUUGUUGCAGCAUGAAAGUAAGCCGAGUUACGGUCUCCACUUUGUAGCCAUUGAAUCCUGCUCCGUUGUCGCCAAAACAAUUCUUCAUCUCUGUAAAGUUUUUCCAAGCUCGCUGUGGUUGAGGUAAUGAAAGGCUGAUCAGGAGUUGAAGAAGAGAGAGCAGCUUCGAGGGCUUCCUGGGCUUCCUUAAUUAAACGGCUACUGUUUGCAUUUUGGGCCUUAGUCCACUUAAUAAUAUGGGCUCUGCACCGAUUAAUUUUCUCCAAGACAGAUUCUUCAUGUGGGCUUCUCCAAGAUUGGCCCACUAAGGUUCGAAUUUCUUCAUUGUUACGAAGGCGCCGAUCAAACCUAAACAGGCCCUUGUUCUUCCUCUUACAAUCAUCCAAGAACGUAACAAGGGGUCGAUGAUCAGACCCUUCGAAACGAAGGUACUCACAACGACCGGCAGGAUACGCUUCAAACCAGCCGCAAUUUGCCAGAGACCGAUCCAAACGAGAUUUAAUAAAAUGGUCAUACCGCCAGCCUCGCCACGAGAAGUGAUUCCCGGAGUGUUUAACAUCCCAUAGGCCAUUCUGCGCCACAAAGGAUCGGAAAGGGAUAAAGGAGCCUUCACAUCGGGCAGGACCUCCGACCUUUUCGAAAUUAUCAAGUGUAUCAUUAAAAUCCCCAGUGAGUAGCCAUGGGGUUGAGCGAUCAGAGCCGAGAUUGGAGACAUAAUCCCAGAAUGCUGCUCUGUUUUCUGUUUGAGGGAGACCAUAUAUAAAGGAGAUGAAGAGGAGCUGAUCCUUGCACUUGAUUUGGGUAUCGAUGAGAUUAGGAGAAGAUUCUAAGAUUUCCAGGUUAACUGCGUCCUUCCAAAAUAAAGCCAAACCUCCACUUAAACCCAAAGGAGGGACAGUGAAAUGAUGAGUAUAACCCAUCCAGUUAACUACCUCUAGCACCUUGCUAUCCUGAUUCUUGGUCUCAGUAAGGAACAGUAUGUCUGGAAAAAUACUGAAGCGUAUUUCUCGAAGACGACGAACUGUCAAGGGGCUCCCUAUCCCUUGACAGUUCCAGCUCACCAUAGCUAAGGAAGGGGGUUUGAUGGGAUCCGAAAAUCCCCCGUACUCUUGGUGAUAGCUGGGAUAAUGUUAAUUGGUGGAGCACUUGUUUGACCAUGGUCCACUGUAUCCUGACGCUCAGGUAAAUCUGCCUCAUUGGCAGGAGGAUCCACAUUAAGCUUCUUCUUGGCAUUUGGUCUAGUGACGGUGCGCUUUUUCAGACUAACUCCUUGGAGAGGGCUGCGGACAACACGUCUCCUAGGGGAGGCCUUAGCUGGUUUUCUCCUCCCUGAGGUCUUAGGUUUGGUAGUAGUAGGAGCUUUUUUCCUUGGGGCUCCUUUGGGUUUUGAGGGAGCAGCUGGAGGAAUUGGUCCCAAUCUGAGGGAAGUGUGAAUUCUGAGAUCACCAGGAACCAGCGAAGAAUUCUGUACAUCACCAGGGAGAUCUUGAGUAUUAUCUCCCGCAUAUUGAAUUUCCACAUCUUGGAGGUGCCCUGAACCAGACCUGGAAGUAGUGAGGAGGGAGGCUGUAUGAGUGAUUCGUGGGGAGAUUCUUUCCAAGGCAGGUCUUCUUGAAUGGGGAAGACUGGAAGGUUCACCAAUUUCCAACCCUGCAGGCCUAGGAGGCGGAAGACUUGGGGGGCAGGGUAGGGGAGGGCAAGGUGGAGGCGAUUGAGAAUAGUGAGAUCUACCGGAUCGAGCAACAACCUCAUAGUCAGGUUUCCGAGGAGGGCUGCGAUGAAUAGGGCUAAGCCUUGGUGGACUGCGCCGUGAAUCAGACCUUGAGGUCUCCCUUCCUCUAGGAUGGUGGGGCCUAAAAUCAGCAGAGUAGGCGCUCCCAAUGUCCCUUGGAGAUUGGCGUCUAUGACCUUGAAGAGUAAAAUCUCUAGAAACAGAGUAAUGACGGUCAGGAGAACGAGAACGAUGCCUGACUACCUCGUCCCUCCUGGAGCGAGAGGGAUUCCUUUGUGAGUGAGUAGCUCCAGAAUCACGGGAUGGAGAGAAGCGUCUGGUAUCUCUAGCUAAGGGAUACCUAGGGGAAGAGAGGCCUCUGUUUCUUCCCCCACUAGCAGCUCUGUUCUCCCGGCUUCCCACAGGUAGAGGCCUAGGAGGCGGCCUGUCCUCUCUUCUCUCUUCUUGGCGCCUGCGUUCAGAAUCCAUACGUUGAGCCGCCUUAAGUUGAUUAAUGCCGAGAGAUCUAGAGACUAAAGGAAGAGGGCAGUCCUUUUUUUCAUGAGAGAGUUCAAAGCAGUUGAAACAAUGUUUCUCUAGCUUCUCGUACUCUAGUUCCACAGUUUUGAUAGAACCAUCAGGAAGCCGGAUAGGCAUGGACAUUUCCAGAGCCGCUAGGCCAUUAAUAGGGACUCGGACACGACCUUCUAAGACCUCUCUCGCCUCCAGAGUACCAAGUUCCUUCCCGAUAGUGCGAAUAGUUUGGUCCGACCAGAAAUGGAGAGGGAUACCAUGAAUUUUGAUCCAAAAGGUGAUGAAGGCUGGAAAAGUGUCAGAGAUAAUGGGUUCCCAUUGUUGUAGAAUGAGCAUCCAGUUCUUAAAAUGAUAAGGACCUCUUCGAAGAACAGACUGGAGGUCCGCUUCACUCUCAAAACGAAACUGAAAACAUUCAGAACCAAGGUCUCUGCCGACAACUCUACUCUCGAGAUUCCAGAGUUGAGGCAUGUAGUUGACAACAGCUUUAGGCUUUUGAACUGUUGAGUUAGUGACUCUCCCUAUAAGGGUAAGCUUGUUUUCCUCAAUGAGCGCAGAGGUAUCGCAUUGGGGGAUGCGGACAGGGGACCGGCGGCGAGAGCUUUUAAGGGUUCCGGCGACCCAUUUUUCUUUCUCAGAUCUAGUGAGGCGGCUUGCCAUAGUGGGUGAGGAAUGACCCAAGAAAAGAGAGUAGCUGGACGGGGUAGAGGAAGACUAGGAAUGAGCUUUAAGUAAACCUGAAAGACCGAGAGUAACUCAGAAGAGGAGUGAGGCGAAGAGCUGCACACCGCAGUAAAUGGUUGGUCACCACCAACCUCGAGAGGGGCUCGAAGGGAGACGGAAAGCAGUCACUGACGGGCCGGAAUGCUACCGGAAAAGGACGAGGGGGUCACCGGAGAAGCCAUUAUGGGGAGGAAAAGGGGAAAAGUUACCAUAUUUGGUUAAAUAAAGUAGGUGAGAUCUGGAAAAUUUGAAAACCCUAACUUCUUUGAGGAGUCAUCGGGAGACGUGCCUGAGAGAGAAAAGUCUAAUUUUUUUUCUCUUACCAAUACAUGUUGGUUUUAUUUUAGAGGUUAUUCAUUUUAGUUACAAACUUAUAAUAUGAUAAUCCAUCAAAUAAAUCUCUUAAAUAAGCUAAACUAUUAAUGGGAU